GGCAAGGUUAGUUGAGGGGGGGGGGGAGGCAAGCCGCACACGUAUAGACUCCAUCCCGCAAUUUAAAUUAAGUUGUCUGCUUUUGUAAAAUCUAUACUAUUCAGGGAAGACGACUUGGUUACACGGGAGAAGUUGAAGGAGGACGCACAAUCCUUGAGAAGUUGAAGGAGGACGCACAAUCCUUCUAUAUACAAUUAUUAAUGUCCGUUCUUUUUAUACAAGAAUUUUUAAACGUUUUAAUCACAAAACAAUUUAAUUUCCAUGCUCGGAAAUUCUAUAAAAACUUUUUAUAUUUAAUAUCUGAAUAUUUCAGAUAUUAUGUACGGCGCGUUCAAAGUACUGUACAUGAAAUAUCCAAGAACUGCGGAUAGGAUGUUUUAACCUACUGCAAUGCUCUACUCUUAGUAAUCAUAGGUACAUUUUUAAACAUAUAUAAACAAUUGUAAAGAAGUUUGCAUUAUAAAAAAAAUAACCAAUUUGUAAAUCUAGAUCUGAAGUUAUAGCAACUACUGACGAUCUACACCUCUACCUGUACGUUCUUGCAGUCUCUGUAGCACUUUUAGAGACUGAAGGAGCGUGUAGAGUGUGACCGGCUGAUCGAGCUCUCAGCUUUAAGUAUAUAGGUAUAUACAUAUACUUUAAAAUGCAUUCAUCUAACAUUUUUCACACCUUUCAGUUAAUAGAAAAAAGACUUUAAAACCUUUUCUCUAGAACCUGAAUUGCACGGAGACGAGUUUCCCUGCAGACCUUUCUAGCGAAGUCGUACUAAACUUCGCUCAACGGAUCCUGUUUAUUGUGAAUCCACUACAGGUAUAUAUCUCUCAUAAGAAACAUUUGAACAUUUAAAGAGAGUAUAUAACCUGAGCAUGAAAAGAAUCGGUAUCUUUUUUCAUGACUUAUCAAAGUUUAAUCGAGUUUUAAACUUUAGAUCGCUGGGUGUGAGCGAUCCUGAUCUCUAUAGGUUGUCAUGCUACAAAAUGAUCCUAUAGACGUCGACUAUCAACCAUGAAGCAAGCUUUAAACCUGUGAACAUGACUAUCUCUCUUGUAACUGGAUAAUGUCCGUAAUUUAUCACCUGAUUAGAGGAUAAAUAAAUACAUAAACUAUUUUGGAGUUAUCUUCUAUACUUCGAGUUAUAAAGAGGAAUUAUUAUACCACGGUACAAAAUCUUCAGCACGUCUAUGAGACACGUGCGACCCACGAAGUGAGAGAUAAAAGUCAUUUAAAGAUACACUUUGAAACCCUAUAAACCCUAAAGUC